GUGCAGCCAUCUUGGAUUUGAGCUGUGCGUGAUGAAGCAGGUGUAAUUUCAUCUCUGUCCAUCCUCAUGUUUUGUGCCUUAGACAUCACUGUUUUUUCACAAAAAAGAUUGGGAAUCUGGAUAAAAUAAACACUGAAGACACUGAAAUGCCUUUGGUCCAGCUCUUUAUUCAAACCCAACUGUUUAGCUAUCUGUCAAGUUGUGUUACGUUACACGCAAUAAGGACAGAAUAGGGGCACCAACUUCAAGUUCAUCGGCCUGUAAUUGAUGGAGGAACUGUCCUGGGAUACCAACACAGCCUUUGUAAUCGGGAAAGCACAACAACGUCUCUUUUUUUGAGGAAACCAAAGAAGGAUCAUGUGUUGAUUAAAUGUGACUGAAGAGAGAGGCGGCUCCAAUGAAGCAGGAAGCAAUGUGGUCCCUAAAGUUAUUUAACCAAACAAUUACACAGAGCAGAUGGAGACUAAUGGAAUCGUUCUGUUGCUGUGGAGACCACAGCAUCACAUAGAAUUAUAAGGAUGAUGGAAUGUCAUGGUUGAAGACUGACAUUCCCAAAAACAUUACAUAAAUGACCUUGCCCACAAGCACACUCACUGAGGUGUGUUUAAGGAUCCUAGGACACACAGUAUGACAAAAGUUUGUCAGGUCUGGCCUGUCAAUACCUCGAAACUAUCAAAAAGGUCUGUAGACAAAUACUUGAUUUGCAAGAUAGAGAGUUAGAUCACCACACUUUUAUGUAAAAUUACACGCUUUAUUGAGUCUCAGCAAGUUUGCUUUUCUCAAGCAGGAAAAUCUGCAUGCCUCUCUGAUCUAAACCAAGGGAGCAAGAAUCAAAAUUCAGGGAAUGUGUUUAAGAAAUACAUGGCAAAAACAACUUCUAACUUUGUCAUGUCCAUUAAUAAAGGGAUGAAUGGAUGUAAAAAGAAAAGCUUUAAUCUUCAGACCAAAUCCAUAACAACACUAUGUGUUAAAGUGGGUUGCAAUUAUCACAUUUAGAUAGUAAAAGAGUUAGACUGUGAAUUAACUGAAGACUCUUACUGCUGGAAGCAUAGCAACUAAAACAAUAAUGAGAGCUUCCCAGUUCAAUAGCAGAAAGUAUGCAAAGCAGAACAACCACUUACUAAAGAGAUUUCCCUUUCCUAACCUUGUGUGUGAUGCAUGAGGCUGAAUGUAUGCUUACCUUUAAGUACACGGUUCGGGCAAGUCUGGCUGUAU